CUUAAUUUGCAAAAUUCCAGUUUUAGGAUACGGCAAUACCUCACUCUGAUCCAGCACCCUUAACUGUGUCAGGAAAACAACCAAUUGUUAAGAAAUAAGACAAAAAACGAGCACUUGAUCAACUAAAAUAAUUGCCACGAAGCCCAUUGGCUGAACAGAUGAUUCUUCGGGCCAGGAAAGAGCAUCUCCCAGGCCCGACCUCGGAGGGCCCUGCUCUUCCUUUAAACACAGAGUUAGCGGGCGUGGUUAUGUGAGUCUACCCUCCAAGGGCAGCUCGGAGAGGCGUCCACGAGGCCGGGGGACUCAGAGAAGCUUGCUUGGCUGCACUGUAGACCGACAAUGGUUAAAACGCGACAGGGGUAAGACCGUGGACCAAGGCCAGUAGCAAGUGUCUCAGCUGUCGGGGCCACUUUGAUAAGGUAUAGGAGCCUGGCCAUCCAGAGGCUGACCUCUGCUCCACCAUAACUGUGUGGCUCUAGUGAAGUUCUUUUCUUUUUUUAAUUUUUUUUAAAUUUUUAUUUAUUUAUGAUAGUCACAGAGAGAGAGAGGCGCAGAGACACAGGCAGAGGGAGAAGCAGGCUCCACGCACCGGGACCCCGAUGUGGGACUCGAUCCCGGGUCUCCAGGAUCGCGCCCUGGGCCAAAGGCAGGCACCAAACCACUGCGCCACCCAGGGAUCCCUCUAGUGAAGUUCUUGACCUCUCUGUGCCUUAACCUCUCUGUGUUCUGUCCUUCCCAUCUGUCAAAAUGGGCGAUAAUAAUAUUUUUUAAAAUUUUUUUAUUUAUUUAUGAUAGUCACACAGAGAGAGAGAGGCAGAGACACAGGCAGAGGGAGAAGCAGGCUCCAUGCACCGGGAGCCUGACGUGGGAUUUGAUCCCGGGUCUCCAGGAUCGCGCCCUGGGCCAAAGGCAGGCGCCAAACCACUGCGCCACCCAGGGAUCCCGGGCGAUAAUAAUAUUAAAGAUGAAAAGAGUUAAUGCAUGUUUAAGACCCAAGUGCACAUUAAAUGUUGGAUCAAUAUUGAUCCAUCUAAAUACCAAGUUUUCCCUAGCUCAAUGACGUCUUGUUAACUCAGUCUUGUAAGAGGUACAAUUGCCGAGACAAUCUAUCAAAGGACAUACUCUAGCAAAAAGCCUACAUCUCACACUUGAAUAUACAGUUAACCUUCCGCGACCUUUACAAUCAAGAGAUUAGGAGCCCUGACCUUCCCGCUUUGUCUCCCCACACCCGGAAAAAAUUGGACUCCAGGAGCUUUUAUACAGACCUAAUAAUCUAAGAUGCUAGGAUUCACUCAAGAAAUAUUUAUGGCACAGAGGAUACAUACAGUCCACAUCCGUACGAUCAGCCACGGCUGGCCGAUUUUCCCUCCUAUCUCCAUCUCCUCGGCCCUCCGACUGUCCUGCUUCUCCCGGGGCCUGCUCACCCAGACCACCGGGGCAGCCCCCAGCUGGCCAUGCUGGCCUCAGGCUUGGCCCCGUCCAUCCCCCCACAGCCCCGCGUGUCAGCUUCCUAGAACACAAAGCACCGCUCCCCCUAGCCCUUCAGGGAUAGCCACAGCUCUUAGGGGGAGGUCUGAACUCCUUAAUGUGGGGAACCCCUUGCACGACCUAGGGUGGCAUGACGCGUGCCCUCCAGGGCCUCUUCACCCCCCCACCCACACCCUGUGCACCGCAGGCCCCACCCUAUCACCUUUGACACGCACAUGCACAGGCACCCGGGGUUAUCUGCACAAAUGCUCAUCUCUGCUCGUUUGCCUGCCUAAGGCCACAGAUCCUUCCAGAUUUGGUCAAGUGCUGUCUUUCAGGAGUCCACCCUGACUUCUCCAGGGGAUCCGUCACUCCCCCUUGGACUCGCUGUGCAGGUGCAGGUGCACCUCUCACCACGCUGUGCUCUGCCUUUUGUCUGCGGGUCUCCCCACCCCCCACCCAAGAGACUGGCUUUCUCUGGGCAAGGAUCGGGGCCAUCUGUGUUCGCUUUAGCGCCUAGAGGGGUGCCGGGCACACAGACAUAGCGGAAAGAGGGAGUCCAGCAGCCCUGCACCCGGGGAGCCACUGAUGCUCAGUAUAUCAGGGGGAAAUCCAUUUUUUUCUUUUCUUCUCGUUUUCACUUCUAAAGUUUCCAAGGCGCUUGAAACUUGGACACUAGACGUUCGCUUCCAAGCUCAGAAUUUCCCCCAAAUUUCUCUACUGUUUAUCCAUUUCUAGUGUUAUAUAACCGAAUGGUGACGUAGUCUCGAAGGAAUCCCGUGAACGAAUUUAGCCCUGCUUGCUGCCGCUCACUUCGGGAGGGUAGGGGGGGACAGGAGGGGGGCGGCGGGAGGGGAUAGUGGCUCUGCAGGAUUCUCUGCUCCGUGGCUGCCCCAGAAGACACUUCCCCGGUCCCGGCGGUUAAGCAAAGCCUGCGGGGCUGCAGGGAAGGGGGUGCCGCCUUUGGCACCGUCCUGAAGCCCAGGAGCCGAGGGUAAAGAUCUUGUUCCUGCUGCUCCGCCGCCGAGUGAAGACUGUUGCCAAAGCGGAGGGCUCGUUUUUAUUGUUUUUGUAGAACAACGAGGCUGUUAUUACAAGUGUUCUGGAAGAGAGGAUCCCGAAGCCAAAAACAGAUUCCACAGCAUCUUAAAAAUAGCCGGUAGCAUGUGAAUGGCCUGGCUGGCCAGGCAAGGCUCUCGAUGUGUCUGACACGCAGGGCAUUUGUGAACCGCUGCGUGGCUACCGGUGCCACCACUUAGCAGCCUCGCAGGAGAGGACGGGCAGCAGCACCCCCGCCCGCGCCCCGCGGCUGGAGGGGCCCGGCGCUGGGCUUCCAGAGCCGAAGGAGAGGCGGAGCUCUGGCCAGAGGACAGCCCGGGGGACGCGUUUCUGCCAAGGGAUGCGCGUCCCUGCUCUUGCAGGCUGCUCCCAGCACCCGCACCCCACACUGGACGCAGGGAGACCCGCACCCAGAAGCCGCAGCCGGGGGCGGGGGGGGGGGGAAUCCGGGGCGGGGUUAGGGAAGGAGAGGCCGCGCGGGCCGCAGAGCUCGGAGGCACUCGGAGGCACAGAGGCGCCUUAACCAUCCAGAUGCAGGAGAUGGGCCAAAUACAUUAUCUGAAGUCAUCUGGGUGCUAGUGUCCACGCUUUUGCAUUUGGUUUCACGGCUUCACCGCUGAGCGGGUGGAGAGAAAUAGUUGGCACCUUUUCAUCAUGAGAAGAGGGUGUCCAGAUGAAACAGGAAGAGAAAUUGCAGCCCGUGAUGUCAGAGACUGAAGAGGAGAUAGGAGUCAGUCUUCCAACAGCGAGGCUCGGGGACUUGGGCAGCAGAUAAGAUCUGAGCACCAGCUAUUCUCAAAGCAAACUUUGGUUGCCGUGGUAACUGGGCCAUCAGAUGCUUCCUGACUUAAAUAGUGCCAGCAACUGCACCCUGGUCUUAUCUCUACAACGCAGCACUGGGAGCUCCUGAGAAAAUUUGGUAACAGAACUGAGAACAUGUAACCGGCUCCAACCUGGUAUCAGUUCAGUGGACAUUUCUGGAGGACCAGCCACAUGCCGGCCACUGUCCCUGUGACAGGUUAGGUCGGGCGACUAGUCCCAUUUUACCAAGGAGGGCAAGGAAUCUUUUACAACCAGGUGAGGGACACAGCAACUGCACUGCGGGACUCAGUGGCCAGCGACCCUAACCGUUAGGCAGCACGGUUGUCACCGACCCUCCGGCCGCCAGGUCAGCCGGAACUCGAGGACCCCUAAACCCCCACCCAGGGACACGUACCUAAACGGUCGCACCCCCGCGCUCGUCUCUCGCAGCCGGGGGCGUUUCCAGGCAUUUGCACCAACCUCAUUUGCAAAACCACUCGCCUCAACCCGCGAAAACGGUUCAGGGGUGGGGGAAUGGUCUCCCGCCCGCUCCCGGGCGGCCUCCAAUCGCGUUGCUUCAUUCAAUCCCGAGCGGUUCCCGGGUAGGCGAGUC